rnacentral:rRNA from 1 species
CAAUAGCGUAUAUUAAAGCUGUUGCGGUUAAAAAGCUCGUAGUUGGAUUUCUGUCAAGGACAACUGGUCCGCCCUCCGGGUGAGCACAUAGUUUGGUCUUGACAUCUUUGGAAGCUGUUGCUGCACUUGGCUGUGUGGCGCAGUGUUCAGCACUUUCACUUUGAGGAAAUUGGAGUGUUUCAAGCAGGCACAUGCCUUUGGACACAGUAGCAUGGAAUAAUUAGAUUGGGCUUUUGCUCCAAUUUGUCGGUUUCUGGAGCUGAGGUGAGUAUUAAUGGGGAUUGUUGGGGGCAUCCGAAUUUAGCCGUCAGAGGUGAAAUUGUUGGAUCUGCUAAAGACGGACAACUGCGAAAGCGUUUGCCCAGGAUGUUUUCAUUGA